rnacentral:rRNA from 1 species
UACGGGGGGGGCGAGCGUUGUUCGGAAUUACUGGGCGUAAAGGGCGCGUAGGCGGUUUGCUAAGUUGGAUGUGAAAACUCUGGGCUUAACCCAGAGCCUGCAUCCAAAACUGGCAAACUUGAGUACUGGAGGGGAAAGCGGAAUUCCUGGUGUAGCGGUGAAAUGCGUAGAUAUCAGGAGGAACACCGGUGGCGAAGGCGGCUUUCUGGACAGUAACUGACGCUGAGGCGCGAAAGCUAGGGGAGCAAACAGG